rnacentral:rRNA from 1 species
GAUGAACGCUGGCGGCGUGCCUAAUACAUGCAAGUCGAGCGAACAGACGAGGAGCUUGCUCCUCUGACGUUAGCGGCGGACGGGUGAGUAACACGUGGAUAACCUACCUAUAAGACUGGGAUAACUUCGGGAAACCGGAGCUAAUACCGGAUAAUAUAUUGAACCGCAUGGUUCAAUAGUGAAAGACGGUAUUGCUGUCACUUAUAGAUGGAUCCGCGCCGCAUUAGCUAGUUGGUAAGGUAACGGCUUACCAAGGCAACGAUGCGUAGCCGACCUGAGAGGGUGAUCGGCCACACUGGAACUGAGACACGGUCCAGACUCCUACGGGAGGCAGCAGUAGGGAAUCUUCCGCAAUGGGCGAAAGCUUGACGGAGCAACGCCGCGUGAGUGAUGAAGGUCUUCGGAUCGUAAAACUCUGUUAUUAGGGAAGAACAAAUGUGUAAGUAACUAUGCACGUCUUGACGGUACCUAAUCAGAAAGCCACGGCUAACUACGUG